rnacentral:rRNA from 1 species
UACGGGGGGGGCAAGCGUUGUUCGGAAUUACUGGGCGUAGAGGGCUCGUAGGCGGCCAACUAAGUCGGAUGUGAAAUCCCCAGGCUUAACCUGGGAACUGCAUCCGAUACUGGAUGGCUUGAAUCCGGGAGAGGGAUGCAGAAUUCCAGGUGUAGCGGUGAAAUGCGUAGAAAUCUGGAGGAAUACCGGUGGCGAAGGCGGCAUCCUGGACCGGCAUUGACGCUGAUGAGCGAAAGCUAGGGGAGCAAACGGG